rnacentral:misc_RNA from 1 species
GAUGAAGGACGUAGCGAAAUGCGAUAAGUAAUGUGAAUUGCAGAAUUCAGUGAAUCAUCGAAUCUUUGAACGCACAUUGCGCCCGCCAGUAUUCUGGCGGGCAUGCCUGUCCGAGCGUCAUUUCAACCCUCGAACCCCUCCGGGGGGUCGGCGUUGGGGACCUCGGGAGCCCCUAAGACGGGAUCCCGGCCCCGAAAUACAGUGGCGGUCUCGCCGCAGCCUCUCCUGCGCAGUAGUUUGCACAACUCGCACCGGGAGCGCGGCGCGUCCACGUCCGUAAAACACCCAACUUCUGAAAUGUUGACCUCGGAUCAGGUAGGAAUACCCGCUGAACUUAAGCAUAUCAAUAAGCGGAGGA